UACGGGGGGGGGCAAGCGUUGUUCGGAAUUACUGGGCGUAAAGGGCUCGUAGGCGGCCAACUAAGUCAGACGUGAAAUCCCCUCGGCUUAACCGGGGAACUGCGUCUGAUACUGGAUGGCUUGAGUUUGGGAGAGGGAUGCGGAAUUCCAGGUGUAGAGGUGAAAAUUCGUAGAUAUUGGGAGGAACACCGGUGGCGAAGGCGGCUCACUGGGGGGUUUUUCUGACGCUGAGGAACGAAAGCCAGGGGAGCGAACGGG
rnacentral:rRNA from 1 species